AAUUGCAGGAUGUUAAGGAGCUGCAAUAUAAGAGGAACAAUCCCUGAAUAUAUAUCUAAUAUGACAAGUCUGAAACUUUUGGAUCUUAGCUUCAACAGAUUGAAAGGGAACAUUCCAAAUCUUGUGGAUAUAUGGAGAUUGGCCACAAUAUAUCUGACAAGUAACUUGCUUACUGGGCUUCCGGAGUGGAUCAAAUAUAGAGAUAGUCGCUAGUAUGUUUCUGCCUCCUAA